rnacentral:rRNA from 1 species
UACGAAGGGUGCAAGCGUUAUUCGGAUUUAUUGGGUGUAAAGGGUGCGUAGACGGCAUAUUUAAGUCCGCUGUUAAAUUUCCCAGCUUAACUGGGAGCCCAGCGGUGGAUACUGAAUGUGCUAGAGGGUGGAAGAGAGAAGUGGAAUUCCCGGAGUAGCGGUAAAAUGCGUAGAUCUCGGGAGGAACACCAAUGGCGAAGGCAGCUUCUUGGUCCAUUUCUGACGUUGAGGCACGAAAGCGUGGGGAGCAAACAGGG